CCCCUCCACCCCGGGAGCUUGGCAGGAUCGGAGCCGUUCUGGGGAGCCUCCGAGACUGGCUGGCUCGCCUGGAGCUGAGGUCAACCCUGUUCCAGCCCCAGCAGACCACGUGCUCAGCUCUGGCCGGAACCGAGGCUGGAGCGCCCCUGGGCUGCCGCCCUGCCAGGCCCUGCACACACACUACAGGUGCCGGGAAAGCCGGCCAUCCUGGGGGCCGGGGCCCUCAAGCCAUGGGGGAGACGAAUGCAGGGAGGGGAGGGGAGGAGACUUUGGAGUCAGCCCCUGGGACUCAGGGUGGACAGCACCAAGGAAGGCUGGAGAUAUCAAGGAGCCGAGGAUGGGGGCGCCCCACCUGGAAGGUGAGGAGGGCAGAGGCCCCAGAGGGGGCCCUCCAGGAAAAAGAAGCUUGCUGCGAGGGAGCUUCCUCUUCAAGCGAGUCCUCCCUCUACGUAUGCUAAGCCCAGAGGUCCUGAGGGCUCCCCCCCACCUCGGACACCUGGCCACGAAGCUCCGUCGGCCCACCCUGGUUCCCCCUCUGAGGCUCGCACCCACCCAGAGCCUUAGGGUGAACAGAGGACUUCUGGACGUGUCGCAGACUUCACAGAGAAGCAAACUGAGGCUGAAGGGAAGCGAUUGGCCCAGAAAUCCAGUUAGGUAGAGCCAAAGGGAGGAUUUGGAUCAAAGUCCUCCCUGACGCCAAGGUCCAACCUCUUGGAAAUGUCCAACAAGCCUGACAAGAGGGAAAAGAGGGGACCAACAAGUCAUCCUCACUCUCGUUCCCUCGUAAAGGUCUCCGGCUGGCCUUGAUGGUUCAAGGAAACCUCUCACUUGAAGAUUUUGGCACCCUGGGGCACUGCGGCCAAAUGCUCUCAGCCUCAGUUUCCCUCAUUUAUCGAUUGAGCAAGAUGGACCAUAAGGACGAAGGGCUGUUUUCUCCCUAUGAUUCUCCACCGUCAUCCUCCGAGAGGGACUGUGCCACGGCAUCCUUUUAUCUGUCUCUCCAUUUUGCAGAUGAGGAAACCGAGUCACAGAGUAUUUAAGUGGCUAUUUAAGUCACUCAGAAAUAGAAAUCAGAGCCAGGCUUUGAACACAGACCAAGGCAGAAUAAAUAUAAGGAAAGGCAGGACAGGAAAGGACAGGCACGUGGGGAAACCUUCAUCCCAACAAAGCAUCCUGGGCCAGACGCAGGGGCUCAGAGGAAGCGGCUGUUUCCAGAGAUUUGGACUCAGACUGGAAAGGAGAUCCCCGUGUCCUGUCCUGUAUCGUCCCCCACAGAAGUCAGCCAGAGGGACCAUCACACACCCAAAAUGAGCACCCCAAAGGGCUCAGAGCUAACGAAGGGCCCCAGAGAGAGGUGAGCCCCCAGGAAACAUGCAGAGGACCCCACGUCCUGCUGAGCCACAAAUUCAGAGGCUCGAAGCCCGGAGCUCCGAUCGCUCUCGCGUGGACGCCGCUUCCUUCCUCCUCGUGUUCUCUACCACCCUGCUGCUCACAGGGCUAACUUUACAGCAAUCCCCACCAAUCCACAGGGGCUCACGGUCCCUUCCCUGUCCUGUGUGGAGACCCAGAGGCUUUCCCAGUCUUCCCUCAGGGACAAGGCGAGCCUUGAGCUGGGAUGGUUUUCCUGUUCAGACCCAGAGAGUUGAUGGCAGUGAGAUGCUGCUUGAUUCUUCUUCUAUUUUGAUUAUAUUUUUCCAUGCGUGAAAAAAGAAGCAAAUCACUUUUAUAUUUUAUUUUGUGGCAUUGAACACUUCAUCUUCCCCUCCCGGGGAUCAGUACCCCAACUAGCAGGACUGUGUCUGCUCAGGGAUGCUUUCCCCUACUUAGCUUUCAACAAACAAAGCUCCUCUUGGUCCUUCCUUGGCUUUCUCCACCAGCAUCACCCAUUCAGUAUCUCCCAGGCCUAUGGCUACCCCCCCCCCCCUUUCCUGCCCCGAUGACCAUCUUCUAGACUUGCUCUUCCUGUUGCAAGCACUGAGCCUUGGCACCAGCUGAGUGGACAGAAUCAAAGUCAAUAAAGAGAAACUGGAAGAUUUUAUCUCGGAAAUCCCAGGCUACCAUGAAAGUGUGUUUCCAAAGUUGUUGAAAUGACCAGGAAUAACCGACACUACAACAGAAACCCCCUCCAAGCUGUUGGGCAGAGUCUAAUUCCCUGGAGCCAAGAACUGGUUUCCCCAAAGAUAAACUGAGCUUGCCACAAGGUGUACAAAAAAUGAUAGAAAAAGGAUCUUCUUCCAAUAGUCCUUCAAAAUUGUUGUCCCCAUUUUGUAGGUAAGAAGAUUGUGUCGGGGUGGAGAAGCACCCACCUCUCUCAUGCUCCUGGGUUUGACAAGUGAGAGUGAGGAUUCGAAUCCAAGACUUAGAAGGCCAGACUAGUGAGUGUUCUUCCCAUCAUACGCUGACCUGUUGACCUGGAUAACUUAUCAAUCAGUUCAUCAACAGGCAUGGAUUAAUCACAUACCUGGUUGCAGGCCCUGUGCUAAACUCUGGGGAUAUAAAGGAAAUGGGAGUUCCAUCCCUGACUGAGAGGAGCCUUAUGUUCUCAUGGAGGAGACAAUGCCAAGGUGGUAACAGGGCUGUUCUCAGUUGGGGCACGGCCAUAUGAGAAGUGAUUCACCAUGAGAAAGGCGAAGACCUAAAAGAUCCAUCCCAUGAGGACAACGAGGUGACUCAGUGGAUGGAGAGUCAGGCCCAGAUGAACCCAGCAGGGAAAGUGAGCCCAUUACAGUAUGGCCUAGAAGGAUGAUGGAGGAGGACUAACCCACAGCAGGCUGUUCAAGCAGGAGCCUUUGGGGUGCUUAAACAAGGUCUCAGCCAUGUUAUUUGCACACUAAAGAGCAUAGUAGAUGAUCUCCAAGUUCUCUGAAACCUUAAAUAUUCAAGCCAAGCCAACUCAACUCACCAAGGCUCUAGGGAGUGACUCCUCUGUUCAAGGAAUUGUCUCUGGAUCCAAAGGCAGAAAGAAAAGAAAUCCUUACCUGCUAGGACAGAAGAGUCUACUGGGGAAAGGAGAAUGGAGACAUGAAUACGUGCAAAGAUUGGUUUGGGGUCUGGCCCCAUGACAGCCUCUACCAGUCAGUGCACACCAGGGCAACUUAGAUCUCCAACUUGGAAGUUCAUGAGGCUGUCCAGGGCAUUGGAAUGGGAAGUAACUUGCUCAGGGUCACCCAGACUGAGUUCUGGUCCUUGGCCCCAGCAUAUGUGAGAAUGGAUCCAGACAUGUAGGCAGGGACUAGAAACACAAAAUGCUUACAUCUGGGCUAAAAACUCAUUUCAGAAGGGAGAGGAUGCCAGUGAGUGAAAAGAUCCUGAAAGGCUUCCUGUAGGAGUUGGCCUCUUACGCUGUGAUUGUAAUGAAGGGGUUGUGGCACCAUGAUGGCUUACUGCAAAAGACAAGCAGCAGCUACUUUUGCAAACUAGCCAAUGCAGCCAGCAGCUUAGGGGGCUGCCAGUUUGGUGAGAGGACCAGCUACACUGAGGAUGAACUUGGGAAUUGGGGAAGGUCAGCCUGGAGAGCUAAAGUCAGUCAGUCAGUCUCUCUCCCUCUCUCUCUCUCCCUCCCCCCCCACUCCCUCCCUCCCUCCUUCCCUCUCUCUCUCUCUUCUCUUCUCUCUCUCUUCCUUACCUCAUCGUGUAUCAGUUCUAAAACAGAAUAGAGGUAAGUGUUCCAGGGUCCCAGAGCUAGAAAGUGUCUGAGGCCUUAUUUGAACAUAGGUCCUCUGGACUCCGGACCUGGCUCUCUAUCCACUGAGCCACUUGGCUGCUUUCUCUAACCUUUACCUUCUAUUUUGAGGGAUAAAGUCCUGAGGACUGGGAAAAAGGAAGGAAAAAGCUUGGAAAGGACAGUUAUCACCAAAUAAUUGAAAGGAUGCUGCAUGGACAAGUGAUGAGGUAGCUUUGGUUUGGCCCCAGCAGACACAAGUCAGAAUGAUGACUCGGUUGGACUAGAUGGUCUCCUCGGUCCCUUCCUGCUCUAAGAUUCUGUGAUUCUAUUACAAGGGGCAAAGUUCAACCUGAAAAGCCUGGCAAGACUUAAAAAAGAACAAUGAGAAAGGAGAGAGGAGGCGGGGAAAAUUCCACUGGGGAGCUGAACCAAGAAGGACAAAAGACAGAAGGCACCCGUGAUUUUCCCAAACGACAAAGGCGAAAUUUUUCCACCAGACAGACAACAGUGACUUUUGGCCAAGUAGACCUGACACAUCAUGUGAGUGAAAGUUCAAGGAGUAGUGGGAGAGAACAGGCAGCCCUACUCCGUGUAGGUUCUGCUGUUAAAGGUCCUUUAAAUGCACACAGGUCCCAGCAGGAUGGCUGAGUCACCAGGCUACAGCAAGGAAUGCUGGCCGGGUCCUCCAUUUGUUCUUCUUUUUACUCCCCUCCCCCCAACUCAUCCCAUUCCUCUCCAUACACACAUUGCUGUAAGUGGAAAUCCUUAAAAGAAGGACUGGCAGGAUUUGGGGACUGAUUUAUUUGAGAGGAAGUAGAGCUCUGAGGAGGAGAAGGAAGUCAGGGAGAAAAGCAAACAAUACCCUUCUCCAGGACUGCCUUCUUCAUCUCCUUCUGCUUUAAUAAACCAAACAGGAAUCCAGUAAAGAUUUCAAGUGUUGACAGUUCCCGUUGAAAACUUCUCCAGUCGUUCAUUUUAUAACCUCAUGGGGAAACCUGGAGGAUGCGUAUUUGCUGCUUCAUAGUAAAAUGAACAUGGCCAGGAAAAGAACCAGUUAUAAUAACAUUAGGAAUAAAACCAGCUCUGAAAAGCUGUCGGAACGCUCGGCAAUACAAUGGCCAGUCAUCAUUCCAGAAGGCUCAGGAUGGUCUUGAAUACCUUCUGACAGAGGGCGGAUGGGUUCUAGGAGGCACAAAGAGAUAGACAUUUUCAGGCAUGGCUCAUGUGGGAGUCUGGCCCAUUGACAUCAAUGUUUUGUUCUCUUUUGUUGAUCUUCCACAUUUUCUCCCUUCCCUCUUUCCUUACUUUUGGAUGGUGGGGAAAAUGGAGAGGGGAGGUAAUGACAAUAUACCUCCAAAAAGGAGUGAGAAAGAAAGAAAGAAAAAAGAGAGACAGACAGAGAGAGAGACAGGGACAGAGAGAAUGAGAGACAGAGAGAGA